GUAAGGUGAACCUGCGGAAGGAUCAUUA
rnacentral:rRNA from 1 species